GAUGGACGCUGGCGGCGUGCCUAAUACAUGCAAGUCGAGCGAACGGACGAGAAGCUUGCUUCUCUGAUGUUAGCGGCGGACGGGUGAGUAACACGUGGAUAACCUACCUAUAAGACUGGGAUAACUUCGGGAAACCGGAGCUAAUACCGGAUAAUAUUUUGAACCGCAUGGUUCAAAAGUGAAAGACGGUCUUGCUGUCACUUAUGGAUGGAUCCGCGCUGCAUUAGCUAGUUGGUAAGGUAACGGCUUACCAAGGCAACGAUGCAUAGCCGACCUGAGAGGGUGAUCGGCCACACUGGAACUGAGACACGGUCCAGACUCCUACGGGAGGCAGCAGUAGGGAAUCUUCCGCAAUGGGCGAAAGCCUGACGGAGCAACGCCGCGUGAGUGAUGAAGGUCUUCGGAUCGUAAAACUCUGUUAUUAGGGAAGAACAUAUGUGUAAGUAACUGUGCACAUCUUGACGGUACCUAAUCAGAAAGCCACGGCUAACUACGUG
rnacentral:rRNA from 1 species